rnacentral:rRNA from 1 species
ACAGUGGCGGACGGGUGAGUAACGCGUGGGUAACCUGCCUCAUACAGGGGGAUAACAGUUGGAAACGGCUGCUAAUACCGCAUAAGCGCACAGUACCGCAUGGUACGGUGUGAAAAACUCCGGUGGUAUGAGAUGGACCCGCGUCUGAUUAGGUAGUUGGUGGGGUAACGGCCUACCAAGCCGACGAUCAGUAGCCGACCUGAGAGGGUGACCGGCCACAUUGGGACUGAGACACGGCCCAA